rnacentral:rRNA from 1 species
GACGUAGGGCGCGAGCGUUGUCCGGAUUUAUUGGGCGUAAAGAGCUCGUAGGCGGCCCUCCUUGUCGCGUGUGAAAGCCCCGGGCUCAACCUGGGAACGGCGCGCGAGACGGGGGGGCUGGAGUUCGGGAGAGGAGCGUGGAAUUCCCAGUGUAGAGGUGAAAUUCGUAGAUAUUGGGAAGAACACCGGUGGCGAAGGCGGCGCUCUGGACCGAGACUGACGCUGAGGCGCGAAAGCGUGGGGAGCAAACAGG